CGAGCUGGGACGAUGCGCACCCUGCUGCAUGUAUGGUAAACCCAUUACAUAUGUAGUACCAUUGAACAUGUUUGCUGGAUUGUGUGUACCGCGAGAUGUCUUCCUGAGGGAACAAUCUGUAAUCGAGGACCAUUUUUAACGCUAGUUACUCCUUCGUACUUGAGUUUGCCUUCGAAUCGAAAAGGGCGUGAUCAGGCUGACCUCUGGUCAUUUGUACACAAAUGCAUCAACAGGUGCGGUGGUAGCAGGAUGGUAGCCCACUGUUUGACAGGCGGCCUUUAGGUCUUAUGCUCCCGUGAAGGGGCAAGUCUACUGACGAUGGUUAGAAGUCGCGUAAAAGAGCCCAACUGAAUGAACGAAUUGUGUCAGGUGCACAAGUGUGCACGGUGUGACGUGGCCAACGUUGUCCCCAAUUCUUCAGCUGUAGAGUGUGCGUAACACUUCUUUGUGGAACACUCAUCAUACUGCUGGUUAUCAAGAUAUCUACACUGGAAUGCGGCUUUCUGUAUCGGCAUGUGAACCGUUUCUACGCAACGCACAAUAGCUUGAGUCCUACCCACUGUAUUAACUCCCGGAUUUGGGAUCCAGGCUGGCCCUCGCUGGUUGAUCCUUUAUAGCAGGGCUUUCAGUGUGUUUAGAUGUCGUGCAAGAGAAUACUUUUACAGACUCAGGAAAACAGCCGGCAACUGACACUUAUGCGGCCGCCGCCAACCGUAACGUUGCUGAUGGUAUCGCGUGAGGAGUCGUGUUUCUGCUGCUGCGAAGCCCGGUGUGGCGUUGUCCCCCUGACAACAGACAAUGAUAUAGAGUUCGUGCUCCUGUGUAUCAGUUAAAAGGCCACGGUGGAAGUCGUUCGUGCUCCUGUGUAUCAGUUAAAAGGCCACGGUAGAAGUCGUUCGUGCUCCUGUGUAUCAGUUAAAAGGCCACGGUGGAAGUCGUUCGUGCUCCUGUGUAUCAGUUAAAAGGCCACGGUGGACGUCGUUUGUGCUAGCGUGAGGCGGCACCGGCCUUCGAGCAUCGACGGCGUAAACUCCCAAUCCCAGCCUGUACGCAGCCUCUACACCAGAAUCAAUUUUGGGAUUGCCUGUCGCGUUCGUGCCCC
rnacentral:lncRNA from 1 species